rnacentral:rRNA from 1 species
AUGUUGGGUUAAGUCCCGCAACGAGCGCAACCCCUGCAUUCAGUUGCCAACGGUAAGGCCGGGCACUCUGGAUGGGACUGCCGGCGACAAGCCGGAGGAAGGUGGGAUGACGUCAAGUCAUCAUGGCCCUUAUGUCCAGGGCGACACACGUGCUACAAUGGCCGGCACAGCGGGAAAGCGAGGGGGCGACCUUGAGCGGAUCCCUCAAAGCCGGUCUCAGUUCGGAUUGCAGUCUGCAACUCGACUGCAUGAAGUUGGAAUCGCUAGUAAUCGUGGAUCAGCCAAGCCGCGGUGAAUACGUUCCCGGGCCUU